rnacentral:rRNA from 1 species
GUGAGUAACACGUGGGUAACCUGCCCAUAAGACUGGGAUAACUCCGGGAAACCGGGGCUAAUACCGGAUAACAUUUUGAACCGCAUGGUUCGAAAUUGAAAGGCGGCUUCGGCUGUCACUUAUGGAUGGACCCGCGUCGCAUUAGCUAGUUGGUGAGGUAACGGCUCACCAAGGCAACGAUGCGUAGCCAACCUGAGAGGGUGAUCGGCCACACUGGGACUGAAACACGGCCCAAACUCCUACGGGAGGCAGCAGUAGGGAAUCUUCCGCAAUGGACAAAAGUCUGACGGAGCAACGCCCCGGGAGUGAUGAAGGCUUUCGGGUCGUAAAACUCUUUUGUUAG